CCCUGGUAGUCCACGCUGUAAACUAUGAGUCACUCGCUGUUGGCAAUAGAUCGUCAGCGGCUGAGCGAAAGCAUUAAGUGAUCCACCUGGGGAGUACGGUCGCAAGAUUGAAACUCAAAGGAGUUGACGGGGGCCCGCACAAGCGGAGGAACAUGUGGUUUAAUUCGAUGAUACGCGAGGAACCUUACCUGGGCUUAAAUGCGGAGCGACGUCCGCCGAAAGGUGGAUUCCUUCGGGCGAUCUGCAAGGUGCUGCAUGGUUGUCGUCAGCUCGUGCCGUGAGGUGUCGGGUUAAGUCCCAUAACGAGCGCAACCCUUAUCGUUAGUUGCCAGCGGGUAAUGCCGGGGACUCUAACGAAACUGCCGGUGUAAACCGUGAGGAAGGUGGGGAUGACGUCAAAUCAGCACGGCCCUUAUGUCCAGGGCUACACACGUGUUACAAUGGUCGGUACAGAGGGCAGCUACCACGCGAGUGGAUGCUAAUCUCGAAAACCGGUCUCAGUUCGGAUUGAAGUCUGCAACUCGACUUCAUGAAGCUGGAUUCGCUAGUAAUCGCGCAUCAGCCAUGGCGCGGUGAAUACGUUCCCGGGCCUUGUACACACCGCCCGUCAAGCCAUGGAAGCUUGGGGUACCUGAAGUCCGUAACCGCAAGGAGCGGCCUAGGGUAAGACAAGUCGACUGGGGCUAAG
rnacentral:rRNA from 1 species